rnacentral:rRNA from 1 species
GUAGGUGGCAAGCGUUGUCCGGAAUUAUUGGGCGUAAAGCGCGCGCAGGCGGUUCUUUAAGUCUGAUGUGAAAGCCCACGGCUCAACCGUGGAGGGUCAUUGGAAACUGGAGAACUUGAGUACAGAAGAGGAAAGCGGAAUUCCACGUGUAGCGGUGAAAUGCGUAGAGAUGUGGAGGAACACCAGUGGCGAAGGCGGCUUUCUGGUCUGUAACUGACGCUGAGGCGCGAAAGCGUGGGGGAGCAAACAGGAUUAGAUACCUGGUAGUCCACGCCGUAAACGAUGAGUGCUAAGUGUUAGGGGGUUUCCGCCCCUUAGUGCUGCAGCUAACGCAUUAAGCACUCCCGCCUGGGAGUACGGCCGCAAGGCUG